AGAUCCAAAAGCGUAUAUUAUAGUUUUUGUAGUUAAAAAGCUCGUAGUUUGAUGUCUGGUGGGAGCAAUUAGUAUGUCACUAUGUGUCGUAGCUUGCAGUGUCUCUGACCAUCCUUGGAAUGAAUCAGUGUGGCAAUAAGUAUUCGGGCUGAAGAUUUCCAUUUUUUUUCUGUGAAAAAUUAGAGUGUUCAAAGCAGGCUUUAGCCGUUUAAUACAUUCACAUGGAAUAAUGAUAUACAACUUUGGUGCUAUUUAGUCGUUUAUUUGACAUAGUAAUGAUUAUCAGGUACAGUUGGGGGUAUUUGUAUUCCAGUGUCAGAGGUGACAUUCUUGGAUUUUUGGAAAACAAACUACUCCGAAAGAAUUUACCAACGAUGUUUUCA
rnacentral:rRNA from 1 species